GACGAACCGUGCGAACGUUGUUCGGAUUCACUGGGCUUAAAGGGCGCGUAGGCGGCUUGCCAAGUCAGGGGUGAAAUCUUUCGGCUCAACCGGAAAAGUGCCUUUGAUACUGGCGAGCUAGAGGGAGGUAGGGGUGCGUGGAACUUCUGGUGGAGCGGUGAAAUGCGUAGAUAUCAGGAGGAACACCGGUGGCGAAGGCGGGUCUCUGGGCCGAUACUGACGCUGAGGAGCGAAAGCGUGGGGAGCGAACAGG
rnacentral:rRNA from 1 species